ACCGCUUCCGUCCCGCGCCCGCGCCGAGGGGCGGGGCCGGGGCGCUGCGGCCAUGUCAGGGCGGGCGGUGCGGGCGGUGCGGGCGGUGCGGCCGGGGCCCCCUCCCCCCUGGGGCGGGCCGGGUGGUGGACACGCGCUUGGGGGCAGCGGUUGGCCUGCGGCACCCUGAGGGAAUCGCGUUCCUGAGGGAAAUCGCCUCCUGUCCCGCCGGAGCGACCUUGUCCCGAUGCAUCUCUGCCAACCGCGCCCCGGCCAUUCCGGUUCCUCCUGAACUGCCCGUGACUUCUGACCGAGACACGGCAAAAAAGAUGGGUGUCGGUUAACCAGUGGAGGAGCGAAGGCACACGUCCGGAGAGUUCCUCCGAAGUGCUGCACGUUAGCUCAGUAACCACAGUUCUGCCGACUGUAGUUCGCUGCGGCCGGCCCCUGUACUUUUACUUUCAGCCCCUGCCACCUUGUCUUUAGCACAGAACUACGGGGCUUUGGAUAAACCCGCAAUACUGUUACUAUGGCUGACACCAGGGGGAAACCUUGGGAGGGGAAAAGCGGGCAGUGAAGGCAGAGGCCUGGUCGGAGUGCUAGGCAGAAGCAGUUUUCCCGUGCGUAUACAGGCAGCACACUUCUCUGGGUUGUCAGUGCCUGAGAUGGACUCAAGGAGUUCUUACGGCGUAAUUCAAGAAAGCUCACGGAUGGAGAUGACUUACACAUUCAACAUCCAUAAUAAAUGGAAUCAUUUAGGUUGGAAGGGACCCCUUGAAGAUCCUCUGGUCCAAGCCCCAACGUUGCCCAGUACCAUCUCCAGUCAGCUUUUUAAUACCUUCGCAGAUGGGAGUUCCACAACCUCUCUGGACAACCUCAUCCAGUGUUUGACCACUCUUGCGGUAAAAAAAAGUGUUCAGUUGAAAUUUCAUGGGGUUUAACUGUCAGUGGAUGCUACUGAGAAGAGUCUGGCUCCCUCCUCUCCAUUCCUUCCCAUCAGGUAUUUAUACACAUUCAGCCUUCUGCAGGCUGAGCAGUCCCAGCAUCUCUUCUUCUAUGAGAUGCUCCAGUCCCAGAGUCAUCUUCGUGGCCUUGUGCUGGCCUCGCUCCAGUAAGUCCAUAGCUAUUUUGUGCUGGGAGGCCAGUGGAGGACACAACGUUUCAGGCAUGACCUCACCAGUGCUGAGGGGCAGGGUCACCUCCCUUGGCCUCACAGCAGCGCUCUGCCUUGUGCGGCCCAGCAUGCUGUCGGUUUGGCCGCAAGGCAUCUGGAGUGAACUCUUUUCGGUAAGAAAAUGAAGUGAUGUGACAGCUUAACAAAGCUAACUGUCGUUAAAAAGAAAAAAGUGGGUAGCUGUAACAAGUAUGCUUUACCAUUUUGAAUACAAUGUUCUGUUGUUUUACUUCUUUAUUUGUAAAGAUAAAAACGCUCAAAAUGCGUCCAGGGUGCUCAAAAUGGCAGCCCUGUGACGUCUUACUGUGCAAAUUCUGCUUAGGAGCAGAGCUGGACGCCUGCAGGAGUAGCACCGGAGUUGCUGUGUGCUUGAAUUGCUGCACAAGAAGCUCAGAAGCAGAAAAAAACUCUUUAGGUGGCAGUCUUGGAAUGGUAUUGGCGAAAUAGGGAUUUGAGUUACUGGCAAUAAUGAAGAUAAGUCACACUGGAAGCCAAAUUAAAGCUUUCUUGGUUUUAUCCUGCAUCUCUGCAGCCUCUGGGGUGGUGUCACCGGGGAAGAAUGUGGCUGUGCAUCUGGAAUGCGGCUCUGGCUGCUCUGGCAGUGCCUGAACUGGGCUGGAGUCCCUUUUUCCCUUUCUUGGUUGUGGACACUCUGCAUGGGUGGUAAAAGGCAUGAAAUAUAUCAUUAGAAGAAUCUGCAGCGUUGCCUCUAGCGUGUGGGUUGUGUUUCUUGAAGCUAUCAUGUGCAAAAUCAACUUUUGUAAUAGAGCUGUGGCUUAAUUUGCUCGUUAUUUUGGUUGCACAGAAAGAUUGGUCUCUCAGAAGACCAUCUGACAGCCCACUGGGAACUAUUAGCAUCCUGACUGCACACCUACAGAUGUAAACGAAUACUCAGCUGGAAUCAGGAUACUUAAAAAACACAUGUUGAUUUCUGGGGUAAAUGAACUGCUUGCUUGCUUCCCCAAAGAAAACAUCUUAUUUUCCCCGUAGCAGAAAGCGCUAUGCUAUGAUUCAGUACCACAGGUUAGAGAUUGUGCCCUAUUCAAGUGAGAAGCAGCAGGAGAGAAAUUCUUCUUUAAAGUGAUGGUGGUGAUGUUUAAAUGUGCUUAAUAAUAAAGAACGUAUAAAAUACUGUCUUAA